rnacentral:rRNA from 1 species
CCUACGGGAGGCAGCAGUGAGGAAUUUUGGUCAAUGGACGCAAGUCUGAACCAGCCAUGCCGCGUGCAGGAAGACGGCUCUAUGAGUUGUAAACUGCUUUUGUACGAGGGUAAACGCAGAUACGCGUAUCUGUCUGAAAUUAUCGUACGAAUAAGGAUCGGCUAACUCCGUGCCAGCAGCCGCGGUAAUAAGGAGGAUUCAAGCGUUAUCCGGAUUUAUGGGGUUUAAAGUGUGCGUAGGCGGUCGGAUAAGUUAGAGGUGAAAUCCCGAGGUUGAACUUCGGAAUUGCCUCGGAUACUGUUUGGCUAGAGAGUAGUUGCGGUAGGCGGAAUGUAUGGUGUAGCGGUGAAAUGCUUAGAGAUCAUACAGAACACCGAUUGCGAAGGCAGCUUACCAAGCUACUUCUGACGUUGAGGCACGAAAGCGUGGGGAGCAAACAGGAUUAGAUACCCGUGUAGUC